rnacentral:tRNA from 1 species
GGCACAGUUCCAAAAAGGGCUUUUUUGGGACUUAAAAUCCCUCGUCCGUAAGGAUGUGCCGGUUCGAGUCCGGCCUCGGGCACCA